UUAUUGGAGAGUUUGAUCCUGGCUCAGGACGAACGCUGGCGGCAUGCCUAACACAUGCAAGUCGAACGAAACGGAGGUCGGUCAUCAGAGGUCAGAAGUCAGAUUGAGCUAACAUUAAUAGCUUCUAAAAUAUCUAAUUCUGACAUCCGAUUUCUGACGACUGACUUCCGUUUAGUGGCGGACGGGUGAGUAACGCGUGGGUAACCUGCCCAUAAGACUGGGAUAACACCGGGAAACCGGUGCUAAUACCGGAUACGUUCUUUAAACCGCAUGGUUUGAAGAAGAAAGGUGGCCUCUGAAUAUGCUACCGUUUAUGGAUGGACCCGCGUCUGAUUAGCUAGUUGGUGAGGUAACGGCUCACCAAGGCGACGAUCAGUAGCCGGCCUGAGAGGGUGAACGGCCACACUGGGACUGAGACACGGCCCAGACUCCUACGGGAG
rnacentral:ncRNA from 1 species